GAUGACCGCUGGCGGCGUGCCUAAUACAUGCAAGUCGAGCGAACGGACGAGAAGCUUGCUUCUCUGAUGUUAGCGGCGGACGGGUGAGUAACACGUGGAUAACCUACCUAUAAGACUGGGAUAACUUCGGGAAACCGGAGCUAAUACCGGAUAAUAUUUUGAACCGCAUGGUUCAAAAGUGAAAGACGGUCUUGCUGUCACUUAUAGAUGGAUCCGCGCUGCAUUAGCUAGUUGGUAAGGUAACGGCUUACCAAGGCAACGAUGCAUAGCCGACCUGAGAGGGUGAUCGGCCACACUGGAACUGAGACACGGUCCAGACUCCUACGGGAGGCAGCAGUAGGGAAUCUUCCGCAAUGGGCGAAAGCCUGACGGAGCAACGCCGCGUGAGUGAUGAAGGUCUUCGGAUCGUAAAACUCUGUUAUUAGGGAAGAACAUAUGUGUAAGUAACUGUGCACAUCUUGACGGUACCUAAUCAGAAAGCCACGGCUAACUACGUG
rnacentral:rRNA from 1 species